rnacentral:rRNA from 1 species
GAUGAACGCUGGCGGCGUGCUUAACACAUGCAAGUCGAACGGAAGUUUUAAAAGGAAGUUUUCGGAUGGAAUUUUAAAACUUUAGUGGCGGACGGGUGAGUAACGCGUGGGUAACCUGCCGUAUACAGGGGGAUAACACUUAGAAAUAGGUGCUAAUACCGCAUAAGCGCACAGCAUCGCAUGAUGCAGUGUGAAAAGCUCCGACGGUAUACGAUGGACCCGCGUCUGAUUAGCUAGUUGGUGAGGUAGAGGCUCACCAAGGCGACGAUCAGUAGCCGGCCUGAGAGGGUGACCGGCCACAUUGGGACUGAGACACGGCCCAAACUCCUACGGGAGGCAGCAGUGGGGAAUAUUGCACAAUGGGGGAAACCCUGAUGCAGCGACGCCGCGUGAGUGAAGAAGUAUUUCGGUAUGUAAAGCUCUAUCAGCAGGGAGAAAAUGACGGUACCUGACUAAGAAGCCCCGGCUAACUACGUG